CGGACCCCCUCUUUUCGUCGCAGUAAACGUCAGGCAGCCACAUGCAAAGCGAAGUCUGCACCAAGGAUACGCCGCACUCCGUUGUUACAUAAGUGGACUACUUCUACUUUCUAUUUUUUUUUUUUGUUUUUUUUUUUCCCUCCACGCUUUUUUUUGUUGUUGGUUUAACCGAACUGUGACACUCUUUUAACUCAAAAUGGAGAACGACGAGAAAUACCUCCCCGAACUGCUGGCGGAAAAGGAUAGCCUGGAUUUGUCGUUCACACACGCCACGAAACUUUUGAACACAGAAAUUGAUAGAAUCCAGAAAGGCGAGACUAAAAAGGAGACAGAAACAUACCUGGAUCUUUUCACAACAAAGAACAUCAAACUUAAGGAACGAGUGCUCAUACCUGUCAAACAGUACCCAAAGUUCAAUUUUGUGGGGAAGAUUUUGGGACCUCAGGGCAAUACAAUCAAACGUCUGCAGGAAGAGACCGGAGCGAAGAUCUCUGUGCUUGGCAAAGGAUCCAUGAGAGACAAAUCUAAGGAGGAGGGGCUGAGGAAAGGUGGGGAGCCCAAGUACGCCCACUUGUCUAUGGAGCUGCACGUGUUUAUCGAGGUGUUUGCCCCGGUACCCGAUGCCUACCUGCGCAUGGCCCAUGCCAUGGAGGAGGUCAAGAAGUUCCUGUUCCCAGAUAUGAUGGAUGAUAUCUGCCAAGAGCAGUUCAUGGAAAUGAGCUACCUGAAUGGAGGCCAGGAGCACGGAGCCCGAGGCCGAGGGGGCAUGCCAGUCAGGGGCCGCGGAGUCCCCCCUUCUGGAACACACAGGGGAAGGGGAAUGCCUCCUCGGGGAGGUGUCACUCGUGGAGGCCCAGGCAGAGGUGGGGCACUGAGGGGUGCUCCAGCAGGCCGAGGCGGACCCCCUGCUGCACCUGCCAGGGGAGCUGUGGCAGCCCGUGCUAGGCCCCCUACUGGCGGCCCCCCCCAGAGAAUGGCAGCCCCCCACCAGCACGCCCCUGCUGCAGCUGCAGAGAACUACGAGGAAUAUGGCUACGAUGAGAGCUACACAGACACAGCCUACGAGUCAUACGACAGCUAUUACAGUCAGCCGCAGGCAGAGCCUGAAUACUAUGACUAUGGACAUGGAGAGACAUCAGAGUCGUACGAAUCCUAUGGUCAAGAUGACUGGAACGGGACCCCGCGGACAGCUCCAGGGAAGGCUCCUCCUGUCUCCAGAGGUGCCAAGACGCCUUAUCGGGAGCACCCAUACAGACAGUACUGAAGCGGACUAAGCACCUUUAAUGUGUCGCCCUGACUACCGCCUGUGUACCACGGCAGCUCUCGCUUUAAGCAGCCCGACAAAAGACCCAGAGGUAAGACCUCUAAAAUAACCUGGAUAGCUUCCUAAUGUGUAUAGAGUUCUAAAGCAUUGAUUGCCUGGGUAUGUAUAAGACUUUUUCAAUCCUCUUACCUGUGGUCGUAAUCGUUAAUGAGAAUUCCUUUUAUAGCAUCUGAAAAUUAACUGAAUUCAAACCACUAUUCAGGUCUAGGCUUCAUUGUCAUGAAUGACCCUGGCGCGAUGGCUACUUUAGUACAGAGUAAUGGCAGUGCAAUGGAGAGGAUGGUUUUAACCUAGAGAACUCCACUGUAAAGGCACAGUUAUCGGUCACUGGGUGCCCCGGAGACUGACAGUUUACUGACGAGAGCCCGUUUGAAACCUCAGUGAAGCCAUACACAGGAGCAACUCACCAUGAAGGAGGUGGUCAGAAGAAGCUCUCUGGGGGAGGUGGGUGGGUGGGGGUGGGGUGGGGGGGGCUGCCCUGUUAUUUUCCUGGCUGUGAGGGGUUGGGCAGGCUGCCAAGUGACCCACAGUUGCCUGUUGAUGUAGUGCGAGGGAGAGGAGCUGGCUCAGACUCCCGCUGGAACACAACUAAGACUGCAGCUGGUCAGUGAAGACAUUAAGCUGGCUGGAUGUCCGGAAUAAUUGGAGACUUCAUGAUUCUCAGUUUCUGUUGAUGCUUUUUUUGUUCUAUUUUUACAUUUCUCAAUAUUGAGUCACAUCGCAUUAGCCCCCCUGUGGUGAUGCGAGGGUCCGACAAGACCACCCAUUCAUCCAAUAAAUGUAACUGUUUCAGUUUAAUUUACCAUAAAAUGAGCCCUCUUGUUAUAACAGGCUGUGAAAUUAUUUUUAAUGUCUAUUAAACUCAGAGUUCGACAAAAAAAUAACGCAAUGCCAGCUUACUUUUUCAUUCGAAAAGAAUUGUGUGACAUCUGUAUUUGAAGGAUUCCAUUUGUUUCCCCCACUAUUGCUGCAUGUUGUGUAGCUUUCAUGCCUUAUUGCUGUGUGAAAUUAGAUUCGCUGCUCAAGAGUUAAGAGAUGCCCGCAAAGUGAGGAUUGCUAUCUUGCUGCGGACGAGUUCACCGCGAGCUCACACAAACACACACACACACGCACUCUGCCACAUCUUGGCAUUGCAUGGCCCGUGUAGCCCCCGAGGAUAUCAAAUGCUAAUUCAGUGGCCUAUUUGCAUGUACUCACAUGUACCCUCACUACAAAUGUGUAACGCUUUCAUAAGCAACACUGGCCUGCUCGAUGCUGUUCGGCAUCCAAGUAUGAUAAUGCAGCGAGAUGGGCCCAGGAGGAGAGCUGCAUGUGAGAAAGGGAUGAAGGGUGAAGACAGACAUUACAACCUCCCCCAGCAUCCAUCAUGCCUCUGUUGAUUUGAUUCCCCUUUAUGCCAUUUUCUACCAUUACCUCUGGUGAUAUUACAGCUGCCUGUGGUGCAGAGUUACAUUUAGAGGUCAAAACUAUACUUUCCUGUAUUAAAAACACAUUUCUCUUCCCCCAACUCACUGGUCAGAUGCAGCAUUAGUCGGAGAAUCCAUUUAGUUUAUUGAAAAUGCUUGCAGCUUAAGAUAGAACAUUAGAUGUUAGGACUGAAACCUCCAUUUGAUAUGAAAUGUCAACGGGCCAUAUCCAAAACAGAUCAUUCUUCAGUCUUUAUGAGCUAUUAUGUCUGAGAUAAUGAUUUCCGUGUCUCCUGUAAUCUAAUGAAAGAUAAGUGAUGGUGUGAAAGCCAUCUCCUCUGCUUUCAUCGAUGAACUGUCAGGAGUGUAAGGAUGGAAAAGAAAGUUAAUGUAACUGUGCUAUGAUCAAUAAAAGUAGACUUGAAUUUAAA